rnacentral:rRNA from 1 species
CCUGGUUGAUCCUGCCAGUAGCAUAUGCUUGUNUCANAGANUAAGCCAUGCAUGUCUAAGUACAANCCGCUAGUCGGCGAAACCGCGAAUGGCUCAAUAAAUCAGUUAUGGUUCCUUAGAUCCACUCCAUCCUACUUGGAUAACUGUGGUAAUUCUAGAGCUAAUANAUGCACUCGAGCCUCGACUGCCCCGUCNNNAGGGCAGAAGAGGUGCUUUUAUUAGAUCANNACCAGUCGGUCCGCUCCUUCGGGGGCUACGACCGUCCCAUUUUGGUGACUCUGGAUAACUUCACACCGAUCGCACGGCCUUCGACCGGCGACGCAUCUUUCAAAUGUCUGCCUUAUCAACUGUCGAUGGUAGGUUACGCGCCUACCAUGGUUGCAACGGGUAACGGGGAAUCGGGGUUCGAUUCCGGAGAGGGAGCCUGAGAAACGGCUACCACAUCCAAGGAAGGCAGCAGGCGCGCAAAUUACCCACUCCCGGCACGGGGAGGUAGUGACGAAAAAUAACGAUACGGGACUCUUCCGAGGCCCCGUGAUUGGAAUGAGUACACUUUAAAUCCUUUAACGAGGAACCAUUGGAGGGCAAGUCUGUGCCAGCAGCCGCGGUAACUCCAGCUCCAAUAGCGUAUAUUAAAGUUGUUGCGGNUAAAAAGCUCGUAGUCGGAUGUCUGUCUUCGGCCGGGCGGCGCCGCUCUGAAUCAAGGGUGCGCGUUUUCGCUCUGGGAGACGGGUGUCAAAGCCCGACUCUCUUUACGGUCGGACAACAUCGCCGGAGUGGUGGUCGGUGGGUCGUUCGCAAUCGGGCCGUCUGCCGCGGCGUUAAAAACCGCGGUGGUGGAAUCCUGUUCGAUCCGCUCCACCCGUCAAUCGUUCGGGGUGCCCUUCACCGGGUGUCUCGGGCGGCCGGCAACGUUUACUUUGAACAAAUUAGAGUGCUCAAAGCAGGUGUAUCCCAACGCCUGAAUAUCGCAGCAUGGAAUGAUGGAAUAGGACCUCGGUCCGAUUUUGCUGGUCUUUUCUUUUGGACCCGAGGUAAUGGUCAAUAGAGACGGACGGGGGCAUUCGUACUGCGGCGACAGAGGUGAAAUUCUUGGACCGCCGCAAGACGAACAACAGCGAAGGCAUUUGCCAAGAAUGUUUUCCUUGAUCAAGAACGAAAGUUAGAGGUUCGAAGGCGAUCAGAUACCGCCCUAGUUCUAACCAUAAACGAUGCCAACCAGCAAUCCGGCGGAGUUACUCCAAUGACUCGCCGGGCAGCUUCCGGGAAACCAAAGUCUUUGGGUUCCGGGGGAAGUAUGGUUGCAAAGCUGAAACUUAAAGGAAUUGACGGAAGGGCACCACCAGGAGUGGAGCCUGCGGCUUAAUUUGACUCAACACGGGAAACCUCACCAGGCCCGGACACUGGAAGGAUUGACAGAUUGAGAGCUCUUUCUUGAUUCGGUGGGUGGUGGUGCAUGNCCGUUCUUAGUUGGUGGAGCGAUUUGUCUGGUUAAUUCCGAUAACGAACGAGACUCUANCCUCCUAAAUAGGUGACGGGNUUUAUCAAUUGAAACCGAAGGGGGUACGGAGACGUCGGGAUCAGNUGUCGNCGGUUUGGGACCNUUGGGACGGGAGCGUGGUCUCGUUGUUUCUCGGAGGUUUUUUUUCNUCGGGCUNUCGUGNCUUUCGGGUCGCGNCUGUUCGNCGGGGAGAGCUUUCGGGGGCGNCGGGGUUGCGUUUUCGCGCCUGGCGGUUUCGGUCGUCGUCAUCCCCGGCGAUUCUCCUGCUCUCGCGUCCGUCACAAGUCUUCUUAGAGGGACAAGCGUCGUCCAGCCGCGUGACAGUGAGCAAUAACAGGUCUGUGAUGCCCUUAGAUGUCCUGGGCCGCACGCGCGCNACACUGAAGGAAUCAGCGUGUNUCACUCUCCCUGUCCGAAAGGACCGGGUAACCGCUGAACCUCCUUCGUGGUUGGGAGUGGGGACUGCAAUGAUCCCCAUGAACCANGAAUCCCUAGUAGGCNCGGGUCACUAGNCCGCGUCGAUUACGUCCCUNCCCUUUGUACACACCGCCCGUCGCUACUACCGAUUGAAUGAUUUAGUGAGGACUUCGGACGGGCUUGUCGGGGUCCGGCUCGUGGGGGGCAACCUCUGCGUGUUCGGUCCUACUAACGGCGAGACUGAAAGAUGUUCGAACUUGAUCCUUUAGAGGAAGUAAAAGUCGUAACAAGGUUUCCGUAGGUGAACCUGCGGAAGGAUCAUUA